rnacentral:rRNA from 1 species
UACGUAGGGGGCUAGCGUUGUUCGGAAUUACUGGGCGUAAAGGGCGCGUAGGUGGUGUGUCAAGUCAUGCGUGAAAGCCCCGGGCUCAAUCUGGGAACCGCGCUUGAGACUGGCACGCUCGAGUUCGGGAGAGGAUGGUGGAAUUCCCAGUGUAGAGGUGAAAUUCGUAGAUAUUGGGAAGAACACCGAUGGCGAAGGCAGCCAUCUGGACCGACACUGACGCUGAGGCGCGAAAGCGUGGGGAGCAAACAGG